rnacentral:lncRNA from 1 species
GAGAGAAUGAGGGAAUCAGAAGGAUGACUGGCAUUUCACGCUCCAACUCCAGAUUGUAGGUGAUCUCUGCCGAUGGCAAUCAGAGGCCCAAGCAAAGCCACCAAGUCAGUCUUGGUCAUCCAGAGGGCACAGAGACAACCCAGGGUGUGAGUGGGGAGUGUCUUGAGGGCAAGGUGGCAUCUUGCUCAGUAGGGUGCUCCCAACACAAAGUAGGGGUGGCGCGUAGUGAGGCUUUCACAAGUGGCAGCUGACUGCACAAAUGGAUCCCAGUUGCUCCAAACAUUGGAGAAGCCCAGUGUGGGGAGGAAGGCAGUGUCUGCAGCUUAACAAGAAAAGGACAGAAGCAGAUGAAAUAGGUGCUGGAGUGCUGGUGGCAGGGAAGACCACACAGGAGGGCAUCGACAGGGCUGCCGCAUGGGGCCUUUGAGAGGUGCAGGGCCCUGAUCGCUGGGCUCCCAGAGACGAUGAAGUGGAAAGUUCUCUGUUACGGAAAAAAAAAGUAUGAUCGAGCUAUAUUCUGGUUAUUUAUUGCUCCAUAGCAAGUCAUUUCAAUGCUUAGAGACUUACAUCAACAACCGUUUUACUAAACCUCACAGUUUUGUGGGUCAGGAAUUUGGGCAGGACUGGGCUAGGUGAUUCCUUUUUUUUUUCUGAGGAAGAUUCACCCUGAACUAACAUUUAUACCCCUCUUCCUCUAUUUUGUAUGUGCUGUGAACCUAACACCGGGAGUGGCUGCCUUUCGGAGCCCCGUGGGCCUGGGGGUGAAGCCAAUCUCCGAUGCCUGCAGAGCUCGCACCCUGGGGAAGACAGUUAACCUCCUUAAUCCCGGCGCCUCAGUUGCAGAAGAGGGAUAAUAGUCAUACAUGUUCUAUGGGGUUGUGGGGAGAGGUCCUUCAGGUGCACUGCCAUUGCCUGACACCAGCACCCCUUUCUUAGCCUGCUCUGUCCUGGGAUCGAGUGUUUGAGAAAACACAACCACGAAUGGAUUAAUGUGAGCAGAUGGUUUCGGCCAGAACCACAAGAAUCUUCCUGUUUCGCGUCCCUGACAGAUACUUCACUUGCAAAUUGUAAAGUCCACUAGACUUACGAAGAAAAUGCAGGCCUUAUCUGCCUGUUCUAGAGUCUGCCAGAUGCAGGGUCACUCUGGACCAGAACAUGCUUGAUGACGAUGCAGGGCAUCAAGAGACAGAGAGCGUGAGAGGGUCCCCUAUUAAAUGUCAAAUGCUCGAACGCCGUCUACGUCAUGACUUCCAGCAUUUUUUUUUCUCUAUGACUCACAAUAAGAGAUUGGUUUAUGUUGCAACCCUGCCCACACAUAGAGGAAAC